rfam:Strongylocentrotus purpuratus Contig112295_fixed, whole genome shotgun sequence.
GAAGGAUUUGUGAUGACUGUGCAUGAAAGCCAUCAAUUUGGAGAUGCACAGUUUGAUGUUUUUCUUUC